rnacentral:rRNA from 1 species
AUUGAACGCUGGCGGCAGGCCUAACACAUGCAAGUCGAACGAGUGGCGGACGGGUGAGUAAUGUCUGGGAAACUACCUGAUGGAGGGGGAUAACUACUGGAAACGGUAGCUAAUACCGCAUACCAUCGGAUGUGCCCAGAUGGGAUUAGCUAGUAGGUGGGGUAACGGCUCACCUAGGCGACGAUCCCUAGCUGGUCUGAGAGGAUGACCAGCAACACUGGAAAGGAGACAGGGUCCAGACUCCGAGGGGAGGAAGGAGUGGGGAAUAUUGCACAAUGGGCGAAAGCCUGAUGCAGCCAUGCCGAGGGUAUGAAGAAGGCCGUCGGGUUGUAAAGUACUGUCAGCGGGGAGGGGUUACCCGCAGAAGAAGCACCGGCUAACUCCGUGCCAGCAGCCGCGGUAAUA